rnacentral:rRNA from 1 species
GAUGUUCGGUUAAGUCCGCUAACGAGCGCAACCCUCGCUGUGUGUUACAAGUGUCACACGGGAACUGCCGGUCAUAAACCGGAGGAAGGUGGGGAUGACGUCAAGUCAGCAUGGCCUUUAUAUCCUGGGCUACACACACGCUACAAUGGGAAGGGACAAUAGGUUGCGAAGCCGCGAGGCGGAGCCAAUCCAGCAAAACUUCCCUCAGUUCAGAUUGCAGGCUGCAACUCGCCUGCAUGAAGUUGGAGUUGCUAGUAAACGCAGGUCAGCCAUACUGCGUUGAAUACGUUCCCGGGCUU